rnacentral:rRNA from 1 species
GUUGUCCGGAAUUAUUGGGCGUAAAGAGCUCGUAGGCGGUUUGUCGCGUCUGCUGUGAAAUCCCGAGGCUCAACCUCGGGUCUGCAGUGGGUACGGGCAGACUGGAGUGCGGUAGGGGAGAAUGGAAUUCCUGGUGUAGCGGUGGAAUGCGCAGAUAUCAGGAGGAACACCGAUGGCGAAGGCAGUUCUCUGGGCCGUAACUGACGCUGAGGAGCGAAAGCGUGGGGAGCGAACAGG